rnacentral:rRNA from 1 species
UACGGAGGAUCCAAGCGUUAUCCGGAUUUAUUGGGUUUAAAGGGUGCGUAGGCGGCCUAUUAAGUCAGGGGUGAAAGACGGUAGCUUAAACUAUCGCAGUGCCUUUGAUACUGAUGGGCUUGAAUGUACUUGAGGUAGGCGGAAUGUGACAAGUAGCGGUGAAAUGCAUAGAUAUGUCACAGAACACCAAUUGCGAAGGCAGCUUACUAAAGUAUGAUUGACGCUGAGGCACGAAAGCGUGGGGAGUCAAACAGGA